rnacentral:rRNA from 1 species
AGUGGGGAAUAUUGCACAAUGGGCGCAAGCCUGAUGCAGCCAUGCCGCGUGUGUGAAGAAGGCCUUCGGGUUGUAAAGCACUUUCAGCAGUGAGGAAGGUAGUGUAGUUAAUAGCUGCAUUAUUUGACGUUAGCUGCAGAAGAAGCACCGGCUAACUCCGUGCCAGCAGCCGCGGUAAUACGGAGGGUGCGAGCGUUAAUCGGAAUUACUGGGCGUAAAGCGCAUGCAGGUGGUUAGUUAAGUCAGAUGUGAAAGCCCGGGGCUCAACCUCGGAACUGCAUUUGAAACUGGCUGACUAGAGUACUGUAGAGGGGGGUAGAAUUUCAGGUGUAGCGGUGAAAUGCGUAGAGAUCUGAAGGAAUACCGGUGGCGAAGGCGGCCCCCUGGACAGAUACUGACACUCAGAUGCGAAAGCGUGGGGAGCAAA